rnacentral:snRNA from 1 species
GACCUCUGUCACUUGUUAAAAUCGGAACGAUACAGAGAAGAUUAGUAUGGCCCCUGCACAAGGAUGGCAUUAUCAAUCCAAUACCGACAUGAUUCUUU